rnacentral:lncRNA from 1 species
UUAUCUAACAAUCAAGACAAAUUUAUUUUUGGUAAGGUAAGUAUACGCAGUCCAUAUCACUACCUCAGAGGUGAGAUAUAGAGAUUGUUUCAUCGUAUUAUUUUACAAAGAGACUACAAAUAAGAGCUUUUUGUGAAAAAAUAUGUGAUCAAAAUUCUUCUGAAGUAUAUAAUCUUCUGUUGCUUUUAAUUUGUAAUUUUAUAGGAAAAAAUUAUCUUUGUUGAAAGCACUUUUCUCCUUUAGAGAGAUUCAGCAACUUUGAGUGUUGUAAUGUUGCUCUUUUUUUAAUAAAAAGAAAAAUUUGUUGAUAGGUGGACCUUUUCUCCCUAAGGUUCAUUCCGUAAAAAAAGAAUAUUAUGAAUGUCUACGAGUACGCGUAGCUCCAUCUUUGGAGGUCCUACCUCUUUGAAUUCAUUGAAUCAUCUUCUCUAAUGUUGUCAAAUGCAAACGGUUAUUCAUGUUUUAAGAGUUGAUAUGUCUAUUUUCACAACUAUUUUAUGCAUAUAUCCUCAUAUUUUGAAUUUGAUGUUCAUAUAGAUAUGCUUCCGCCAUAUGAAGGGAAGUUGCCAGUGUUGGAGGUGCUUGUCAAGAAAGUUGGGCAACUUAUAGAAUUAACUUUAUUUAAGGUACAAUUAAGAAACUGUGUGGCUCUUUUCUCCUUUAGAUAUUUGCAUUUUUUUCUCGUUAUGUCUUAACAUGUGAUGUGAAUGUGGGGUGGGGAUUUCAUAAGAUAUAAGAAUUGAGGAAAAAAAAAGUUGAUUCAGAAGAUUCACUUUUCCUCGUGUGACAUGUGUAGAUCGACGGAUCAUUAACCCUUCUUUACAGUGCAGCCUUGGUUGUUGCACUUGAAGGUAACAAGAAAAGGAAUGUUUUCUAUAAGGAUUUAUGGGUAAGGUACAAAAUAUGUCAUCAAUUUGGAAUGUGGAGAGUAAGUGAAUUUCAAUACUAUUUGGAAUAAUUCAUCACCACUCAUGAGUUCAUCAAGUUGAUUAUAUUUAAUUUGAAUGUCUAUUUUACUUUUUAAGUAUAGAAUUGAUGAUUCCUUUGCAUAAAUAAUUUUAACAAAAAAAAUAAGGUGCACCAAUAUUGGGGGUUUUGUCUCACCAUGAGGUAUUCUAUAAUUUCAAGACUUAUAUUUUUUAUCAGUUUGUAAUUAUUAGAUUAGGAGGAUGUUUUGGAAAAGCUUAUAAGCCGGUUAAAUAGGCUUGUAAAUCCUUUUUAGCUUAUUUACAUGUUUUGGUAAAUAGCUGAAGUGCUUGUAAGGUAAUUUUAGUCAAAAGGCAUAAGUUGGUCACUCUUAAUAUAUGCCUUUUUAGUUUGUAAGCACUUUUAGUUUGAUCAAGAAUCUGACUAUUUUAUCUUUGAUAUUUUUUAAAAUUCUCAAAAUAUCUUCGCGAAAUACAAGAUCUUAUUUCAUGUUUAUUGUUUAUUCGUAGUUUCUCCUUUUAUUUACAAAGAUGCUAUUGAAUUAGUUGUUUUUUUAUAAAAUCUUACGGGUGUUUGUCAAUUUUUUUUAAAAAAGUAGCUUGUCUACAUAUUUUUUUUACCAAACACGUCAAAUUGUUUAUGACGUUUUAUACAUUGUGUUGUUGGUUCUGGUAUUGAUCCAGGCAAUGUAACAAAUAUUCAAGCGGGAAAGAUGGGCCAGAAUAGACUUUAAGAGGCACAUUUCUUGUAUUCUUUAGUCGGUCAGAUAGCAAUAACACGUUGUUCAGUGCUUUUAUGCCUCAUGCAAAAAUUGUAUUAUCCUAAUAUUUAUAUGAUGUAUUGAAGAAUGCAACCUGCUGUUGAUGAUUUUAUGUUCUUAUAUCCAUAGAAGAUAGAGCACUAUCUCUUUUGCACAACAAUAUUGCAAAAAUGUUCGUGCCCAGCACGAGUACGGGUCAUCUUAUUAAUUCCUAAACAAAACAUCAGUUUACCUUAAUUAGAGCCAUUAAAUCCC